AUUGCACGCUGGCGUCAGGCUUAACACAUGCAAGUCGAGCGCGCGGCGGCCGGGUGCGUAAUGUCUGGGACACUGCCUGAUUGAGCGGGAUAACUACUGGCCCCGUUAUCUACUACCCCAUCCCCUCCGCUCUUCCCCGCUGGGAUUAGCUAGUAGGUGGGGUAAUGGCUCACCUAGGCGACGAUCCCUAGCUGGUCUGCUAGGAUGACCAGCCACAGUGGAAAUGAGACACGGUCCAGACUCCUACGGGAGGCAGCAGUGGGGAAUAUGGCACAAUGGGCGCAAGCCUGAUGCAGCCAUGCCGCGUGUGUGAAGAAGGCCGUCGGGUUGUAAAGCACUUUCAGCGAGGAGGCGUUACUCGCAGAAGAAGCACCGGCUAACUCCGUGCCAGCAGCCGCGGUAAUAC
rnacentral:rRNA from 1 species